CCAGACCCCAUUCCCGGAGUGUCUUGAUGGCUCUGAUGCCCAUGUCCCGGCCACUGCGGGCUGUCACCAGGUAGGUGCGAAUGGGGGACUCCUCCUGGCUGAACUUCUUGCGUAUCUUCCCCAGGUGCAUGGCAAAGGCUUUCAUGGGACCCUCUCCUAUAGGCACGGCCUCCAUUGCCCGCUCAUACUGCAUGGCUCCCUCCAGGCCCUGCUCCUGGAAGACCUG
rnacentral:lncRNA from 1 species